GGGUUGUGAGGUUAAGCGACUAAGCGUACACGGUGGAUGCCCUGGCAGUCAGAGGCGAUGAAGGACGUGCUAAUCUGCGAUAAGCGUCGGUAAGGUGAUAUGAACCGUUAUAACCGGCGAUUUCCGAAUGGGGAAACCCAGUGUGAUUCGUCACACUAUCAUUAACUGAAUCCAUAGGUUAAUGAGGCGAACCGGGGGAACUGAAACAUCUAAGUACCCCGAGGAAAAGAAAUCAACCGAGAUUCCCCCAGUAGCGGCGAGCGAACGGGGAGGAGCCCAGAGCCUGAAUCAGUGUGUGUGUUAGUGGAAGCGUCUGGAAAGGCGCGCGAUACAGGGUGACAGCCCCGUACACAAAAAUGCACAUACUGUGAGCUCGAUGAGUAGGGCGGGACACGUGGUAUCCUGUCUGAAUAUGGGGGGACCAUCCUCCAAGGCUAAAUACUCCUGACUGACCGAUAGUGAACCAGUACCGUGAGGGAAAGGCGAAAAGAACCCCGGCGAGGGGAGUGAAAAAGAACCUGAAACCGUGUACGUACAAGCAGUGGGAGCCUCUUUAUGGGGUGACUGCGUACCUUUUGUAUAAUGGGUCAGCGACUUAUAUUCUGUAGCAAGGUUAACCGAAUAGGGGAGCCGAAGGGAAACCGAGUCUUAACUGGGCGUUAAGUUGCAGGGUAUAGACCCGAAACCCGGUGAUCUAGCCAUGGGCAGGUUGAAGGUUGGGUAACACUAACUGGAGGACCGAACCGACUAAUGUUGAAAAAUUAGCGGAUGACUUGUGGCUGGGGGUGAAAGGCCAAUCAAACCGGGAGAUAGCUGGUUCUCCCCGAAAGCUAUUUAGGUAGCGCCUCGUGAAUUCAUCUCCGGGGGUAGAGCACUGUUUCGGCAAGGGGGUCAUCCCGACUUACCAACCCGAUGCAAACUGCGAAUACCGGAGAAUGUUAUCACGGGAGACACACGGCGGGUGCUAACGUCCGUCGUGAAGAGGGAAACAACCCAGACCGCCAGCUAAGGUCCCAAAGUCAUGGUUAAGUGGGAAACGAUGUGGGAAGGCCCAGACAGCCAGGAUGUUGGCUUAGAAGCAGCCAUCAUUUAAAGAAAGCGUAAUAGCUCACUGGUCGAGUCGGCCUGCGCGGAAGAUGUAACGGGGCUAAACCAUGCACCGAAGCUGCGGCAGCGACACUAUGUGUUGUUGGGUAGGGGAGCGUUCUGUAAGCCUGCGAAGGUGUACUGUGAGGUAUGCUGGAGGUAUCAGAAGUGCGAAUGCUGACAUAAGUAACGAUAAAGCGGGUGAAAAGCCCGCUCGCCGGAAGACCAAGGGUUCCUGUCCAACGUUAAUCGGGGCAGGGUGAGUCGACCCCUAAGGCGAGGCCGAAAGGCGUAGUCGAUGGGAAACAGGUUAAUAUUCCUGUACUUGGUGUUACUGCGAAGGGGGGACGGAGAAGGCUAUGUUGGCCGGGCGACGGUUGUCCCGGUUUAAGCGUGUAGGCUGGUUUUCCAGGCAAAUCCGGAAAAUCAAGGCUGAGGCGUGAUGACGAGGCACUACGGUGCUGAAGCAACAAAUGCCCUGCUUCCAGGAAAAGCCUCUAAGCAUCAGGUAACAUCAAAUCGUACCCCAAACCGACACAGGUGGUCAGGUAGAGAAUACCAAGGCGCUUGAGAGAACUCGGGUGAAGGAACUAGGCAAAAUGGUGCCGUAACUUCGGGAGAAGGCACGCUGAUAUGUAGGUGAAGUCCCUCGCGGAUGGAGCUGAAAUCAGUCGAAGAUACCAGCUGGCUGCAACUGUUUAUUAAAAACACAGCACUGUGCAAACACGAAAGUGGACGUAUACGGUGUGACGCCUGCCCGGUGCCGGAAGGUUAAUUGAUGGGGUUAGCGGUAACGCGAAGCUCUUGAUCGAAGCCCCGGUAAACGGCGGCCGUAACUAUAACGGUCCUAAGGUAGCGAAAUUCCUUGUCGGGUAAGUUCCGACCUGCACGAAUGGCGUAAUGAUGGCCAGGCUGUCUCCACCCGAGACUCAGUGAAAUUGAACUCGCUGUGAAGAUGCAGUGUACCCGCGGCAAGACGGAAAGACCCCGUGAACCUUUACUAUAGCUUGACACUGAACAUUGAGCCUUGAUGUGUAGGAUAGGUGGGAGGCUUUGAAGUGUGGACGCCAGUCUGCAUGGAGCCGACCUUGAAAUACCACCCUUUAAUGUUUGAUGUUCUAACGUUGGCCCCUGAUCGGGGUUGCGGACAGUGUCUGGUGGGUAGUUUGACUGGGGCGGUCUCCUCCUAAAGAGUAACGGAGGAGCACGAAGGUUGGCUAAUCCUGGUCGGACAUCAGGAGGUUAGUGCAAUGGCAUAAGCCAGCUUGACUGCGAGCGUGACGGCGCGAGCAGGUGCGAAAGCAGGUCAUAGUGAUCCGGUGGUUCUGAAUGGAAGGGCCAUCGCUCAACGGAUAAAAGGUACUCCGGGGAUAACAGGCUGAUACCGCCCAAGAGUUCAUAUCGACGGCGGUGUUUGGCACCUCGAUGUCGGCUCAUCACAUCCUGGGGCUGAAGUAGGUCCCAAGGGUAUGGCUGUUCGCCAUUUAAAGUGGUACGCGAGCUGGGUUUAGAACGUCGUGAGACAGUUCGGUCCCUAUCUGCCGUGGGCGCUGGAGAACUGAGGGGGGCUGCUCCUAGUACGAGAGGACCGGAGUGGACGCAUCACUGGUGUUCGGGUUGUCAUGCCAAUGGCACUGCCCGGUAGCUAAAUGCGGAAGAGAUAAGUGCUGAAAGCAUCUAAGCACGAAACUUGCCCCGAGAUGAGUUCUCCCUGACUCCUUGAGAGUCCUGAAGGAACGUUGAAGACGACGACGUUGAUAGGCCGGGUGUGUAAGCGCAGCGAUGCGUUGAGCUAACCGGUACUAAUGAACCGUGAGGCUUAACCUUACAACGCCGAAG
rnacentral:rRNA from 1 species